GGAAAGCCAAGUCACUCAGUGAUACUCACACCCAGCUCCUCUGCUCCAGCCAGGCAAGAGGGGGGGACAGUGAGAAACACAAGGUGACAUGUAUUGAAGUAAACAGGGCUACUGUGUGCAUUAGACUGGCCCUGCACUUAAAUCUGGACAGGAUUAAGAGCCUAUGUGCCAUUUACCACAGGAGAAACCCAGAAACAACUCAGAAAGAGGAAUGUGCUGCAACUACUCCUCAACACCCAUAAAAAGAGUCUGACAAGAAGGAUCUGCAGAACCCCAAAGACUUGACUGUGUAGCUCCUUAAGGAUGCAAAUGGAAAAGACACUGAAGCAGAGAAGAGGCAGAGGGAUGAUGGUGGGAUGGACAUGUUAGAGAAGCAAAGAGCCAUUCCAGGAAUCUUGUGCAAGGCUGGGACCACUCAAGCAAGGGCAGGAUCUUGUGGGAAAGAAGAUGCAUAAUGACACAGUAGAAACUGGAGAGACAACUUCUUGGUUCCACUCAGAGAGGUGGUAGAAGAGGAAAAAAGAAAAACCUCUUAGAUACCAAACAAGUCAAGGGCUGCCUAUCUGGGAAAUAAAAGGCCUGAGUUGUUCUGAAGCACUGUGAAUGCUUUGAAAGGAGCAACACAGAUUUCUUUACUAGUAAUUGUAUGAAAUUAGUGCCCACCAAGAUAUAGGCCUCUGAAAAAUGUAAUUAUUGAAUUUUGCAUCCUAAUUGUUUUGCUCCAUGGUAGUACAUAUUUUUGAGGGAAACAUACUCAAGUGAGUUCAAGAGAACGCACAUAUUAAUUGAAUACGUGCUUUAAUUAAAUUUUUGAGACACAAUUAAAUACUUAAGAUACAAACAAUUGCUUGUAAUUCCAUUUCUGGAACAAAUGAAUUGUCCAACAUAUGGAAUUUUCUUUCACAGUCCUUUUUCAUGCUCAGUAGUGUUGCUGCAUAACUGCAGUUUUACUGAGGUCCUAAUUACUCAGUACCAUCAUACAGGAAUGGACUGCUAAAAUACAGAGCAGAAUUUCUUCCUCAGGGCAACUAAUGUGUUGGAACAACAAUGUGAAUUCUUUUCAUGUCUUGAAAAAGAACAUACCCAACAGCCUAAAAGCCUUCAGGGGGUAGAAUCUGAAUGUCCUAGUGAUGAAUACUUAAAUAAGAAUUUACAGGAGCAAGUGUCAUUGAGGAAUUCCUAUUACAGGCACAACACAGCUGCAGUGUUACUUUUCUUUUAUCAAGAUCUACUUACAUUGUAAAAAAUUCAUAGCUGCAAGCAAAAUUAAAGCACUUUUUACCUUCUUAAGGUCAUGGGUAGGCAGAAAGAUGCAGCUGAGUAGCUGUCAGUGCACACAAAAAAGAAUGCAGUACUUCCUUUUGGAAAACUGAAAACAAAUUUUGGCUGUUUUUUUAUUUGUUAUCAUCAAGGUGUGGCAGCAAAGGAAAGAUCCUUCCGUAAACUGUCUUAUUGUUGAAUAAAACCUGGGAAAUUCCACCACGGGUCAAAAGAGACAGAUAUACUUCACAGCAUAAAAAUGGUUUGCCACAGUUGCCUUUAAAACAAUGCAUCACAUGCCUCGUUGUGGUGAUACCAUGGUACUGCACUCCAUCUUUUUGGCAUUGGCUUAGAUUUUAUCCAAAAAAAAAAAAAAA